UUGGGCUCAGAACCUGCGAGGAUGGCAGUGGUGUCCAGCAGUGAAGACUGAAGGUGUCCACAGCUGUGAUAGGGGCUUCUGGGUCCUCUUGCUUGCUUUUCUUCACAGGAAGAAGUCCCUCCUAGCUCCUAGGGGGUUUGAUUGUGAGCGGCAAGGGUGUGGCAGAGAUUAUGCUCCAAGACACUGAAUCUGAAAGGAUGCAUCCAGUUUUGCCAAGUGGUUUCACUACCAAGGCCAGUCUCCAUCUAUGAUAGACCCAAGGAAGGUCAUUUACAACUAGAAUCUAGUCAUUUAGGAGCUUGUGUGCUCCCUGGAUGGGCCAUCUGCACUGGUGUGAGGUUUAUCUCAUUGAAGGGAAAAACAAAGGAAUCUUCUUGAAUAUCAGCACCAGGAA
rnacentral:lncRNA from 1 species